rfam:Human gut metagenome DNA, contig sequence: F1-T_000739.
UGCUCUAUCCAUUCAGGGUAACUCUAUCAUGACUAGCGUGAAUAGUAACGUUCGGGUUAGAAAGCUCAUGAGACAAUGUGGAAGUCCGAGUAGCCUAAACUGGGAUAACUG